GGGCUCGGGCAGCUGUCCGCUGCUUUGGGGGAGCAACGGCAAGUUUGAAUGAACUCUGCGCGCUUCGUGCUUACUGGCGAACCAAGUGCUUGUACAGGGCAGUGUCCGUUUGCCUUAUGUAAGUGUCUGCUGUGCUAAUGAAUAAUGGAAUAAAAAUCCAGUGGCGUCUUUGGGUCCAGUAUCUCUCUCCUCUCGUAUCUCUCCCUGCAAAGAUCCCAUUCUGAGGAAUAUAGAAGAGUACAGCCUUGUCAUCCCCACCAGCACCGACUCAGAGGGCAGGUUCCUAUCCCACCUGGUGUCCGGACCUCCAAGAGCACGCUUCAGGAGAGCUGUGGACGAUUUGCAACGUGAAGCAGCAAAUGAGCAAAUAUUUUACAAUGUCACUGUUUUUGGAAGAGAGUUUCACUUCAGGUUGCGGCCAAACUCCAGGCUCGUUGCCCCUGGAGCAACAGUUGAAUGGCAGGAGGACUCGGAUGAGACUCGCAUCGAACCUCUCUAUGGGAAUUGCCUCUAUGUUGGGGAUAUCACUGAUCUGCCAAAUGCUUCAGUUGCUAUCAGCAAUUGCGAUGGGUUGCUGCAUGCAUUCCAGCUUGGAGAAGCAGCUUUCAAUGUUCUGUUUGCUGUGCACAGCUGUCCAAGGGCAAGAAGAACACCAGUGUUGUGCAAGAAGAGCAAUUUAGAAAGCAGAACGUGACCCUGGAGGCCUGCCUCUCAUAGGAAGCAGGAGUGCUUUGGUCUCCCUGUACCUUGCACGCAUCACUUUGUCUAGGGCAAGUUUUUCUUGCCUGGGACAUUGCAGAACUGGGGCGGAGCCUCGUUCCACAGCUUGAAUCCACGACCCAUGUGCCUGAGUCCAGUAUUCUUGGUUGUGUUGUCCAUUAUAAGAAUCGGGAGAAGAUUUGGUCUGGUGUGGGAGCACAUUUGUUGUUGCCCACGUCCUUGAAGCCAUACUGCAGCAUUAUUGCCUCAAUAUCUUUAAGCAUCUGGCUUUAAUGAUUUCCCUGAGAUUGUGCACUAAAUCUGUUUGGAACAACAAAUUGAACUCUGAUCCCUUGGGUCCCAUGUUCCAUCUCUACCCAUUCCAUCCUAAGUUUCUCUCUUUCUUUGGGGGGGAGAAUUUAAAACAGGUAUCGUUAGAAUUAUUGAAACUCCAAGAAAUAAUACUAUAUUCCCCAGCACUCAAUGGCCAAGCACUGAAGCUGAGUGCACUUAAUUCUCUCAAUUUACUUUUUCAUUUGUUGUGUUUGCAAAGUAUAUUAAAGAGUCUCUUGAACAAUA